AUGGGAAUCCUCUUCCACAUCCCAUGGUCCCAGGGUGAUCCAAAUACACUCUUGGACACUGCCAGGGAUCCAGGGAUUCUCUGGGAAUUCCGGACUCCAGGAAGGGUCUCCCUUCCUUUUUCCAUCCCUAAAUUCCAUAAAAAUCCCUCGGGAUGGAUCCUGAGUGUCCUUGAUCCCAGAGUCCUGGGAUGGUUUGGGAUGGGAUCCAUGGACCUUCAAUCCCAUCCCAGGGACACUUCCCACCAUCCCAGGGUGAUCCAAACCCACCCUUGGACACUCCCAGGGAUUCUCUGGGAAUCCCACCCCAGCCAGGAAUCCCUUCCCAAGAUCCCACCAUCCCAAGCUCCCCUUUCCCACUGGAAGCCAUUCCCUGCCUCCUGCCCCUCCAGCCCUUGCCCAAAUUCCAGCUCUCCUGGAGCCCCUUUGGGAUGGGGAAGCGGCUCCAAGGAUUCCCUGGAUCCUUCCCUGAUCCAGCUGCACAUUCCCAGCUCUCCCAGCCCAGCAUUGGAUCCAGCCCCAUCCCGACUCCUCCUUGAGAAGGAAUUUUGGCAUCCAGGGAUUCUCUGGGAAUUGGGCACUCCAGGAAGGGUCUCCCUUCCCUUUUCCACCCCCAAAUUCCAUAAAAAUCACUCAGGAUUGAUCCUUAGUGCCCUUGAUCCCAGAAUCCCAGAACUCCCGGCAUCACUCCACCCUCUCCCCCACCCCAUUUUGGGGACGAACCCCCCAAAACCCGGAAUUGCCGCUUCCCAAUCCCGAUUCCUGGGUGUGAGGAGCCGGGGCCGCUCCGUGGUCCCGACCCCGUCCCGAGGCGGGAGCCGCAUCCCUGGCCCCGUUCCCGGGAAUUUCCAUCUGGAUCCCAUCAGCUCCGUCCCACACACCGCGGGAACGAUCCCGCUCUCCCGGGGAACGGGCGGGAAUUUCCUGCCCGCCUCGGCCCUGUUGGGAUCGCUUCCCAUCCCGUGCUCUCCUUUCUCCCGCGUUUUCGGGCGUUGUUUGUUGUUCCUGGAGCGUCCCUGA
rnacentral:lncRNA from 1 species